UUAGCAGUGAGGAAUAUUGGUCAAUGGCCGAAAGGCUGAACCAGUAACUUGAAAGAAUGAACAAUGAAUAACUCUUAUAUAAAGUUCUAGACAUACAAGGAAUGAUGACUAAUUUAUGUCUAUAAGUAUUGACCAAAUUACGUGCCAGCCGUCGCGGUAAUACGUAAAAUACAAGUGUUAUUCAUCUUUAAUGGGUUUAAAGGGUACCUAGACAGGAAAUCAAGCCAUAAAAGGGACUAAUUUUCUAGAGUUUUAUAAAAGAAAGAAGAAUUGUUAGAGGAGAGAUGAAAUUCAUUAAUACUGACAAGACUGGUAACAGCGAAGGCAUUUUUCUAUGUAAAAACUGACGUUGAGGGACGAAGCCUAGGGUAACGAUAAGGAUUAGAUACCCUAAUAGUCCUAGGAGAAAAUUAUGAAUGCCAUAGGCUAGAUUUUUUGGCCUAUAAAUGAAAGUGAAAGCAUUUCACCUUACAAGUAAAGCGGCAACGCCGAAACUGAAAUCAUUAGACCGUUACUGAAAACAGUAGUGAAGUAUGUUAUUUAAUUCGAUGGUCCGCGAAUAACCUUACCACAAUUUGAAUAUUAUUAGAUUAUUACAAGUGCUGCACGGCUGUCUUCAGCUUAUGUCGUGAGAUUCUGGUUAGAUCCAUUAAUAAGCGAAAACCCUUACUUUAAUUUAUAUAGAGUAAUAAUAGAUAGAAGGGACCUAUUAUUACUCUUUAUCCAUAGAGUAGUUCGCCACUAUAUUGGUAAGAUAAGAGGGAUUAAGACAAGUCAUCAUGGCCUUAAUAUUGUGGGCUAUAGACGUGCCACAUUUGCCUUUACAAAGGGAUGCGAUAUUGUAAAAUGGAG
rnacentral:rRNA from 1 species